rnacentral:rRNA from 1 species
GACGAACGCUGGCGGCGUGCUUAACACAUGCAAGUCGAGCGGUAAGGCCCUUUCGGGGGUACGACGAGCGGCGAACGGGUGAGUAACACGUGGGUGACCUGCCCUCAGCUCUGGGAUAAGCCUGGGAAACUGGGUCUAAUACUGGAUAUGACUCCACGGUGCAUGUCGUGGGGUGGAAAGCCUUGUGCGGCUGAGGAUGGGCCCGCGGCCUAUCAGCUUGUUGGUGGGGUGAGGCCUACCAAGGCGACGACGGGUAGCCGGCCUGAGAGGGCGACCGGCCACACUGGGACUGAGACACGGCCCAGACUCCUACGGGAGGCAGCAGCGGGGAAUCUUGCGCAAUGGGCGAAAGCCUGACGCAGCGACGCCGCGUGAGGGAU